rnacentral:lncRNA from 1 species
UGUUAAAAUAUUGAGAAAUAUUCUUAAAAGACUGCCGUGCCUCAUUUGCACCUAAAAGAAUUGAAUGAAAAACCUGUCAAUGAGGGACAAAAGCAUUAGACUCCAGGGAGCAAAAACUAAUGUGUUGUGCGCAAAAUACCACUGACAAGGCUUAUUCUAAAUCUUUGUCUGAAGAAAAUGAAUGGGAGGCUACCAAAGAACGCUGUAAAAUGGAGAACAGACUAUUUCUUCAGGGAAGAAAAUGUUUUGAUUAUGAUUAAAGGUGCUUUUACUGACUGAGUC